rnacentral:siRNA from 1 species
GGCACACGCGUGAUGAGUC